UUUGACAUGUACGGAACCCUUUAGAGAUAGAGGGGUGCUCGAAAGAGAGCCGUAACACAGGUGCUGCAUGGCUGUCGUCAGCUCGUGUCGUGAGAUGUUGGGUUAAGUCCCGCAACGAGCGCAACCCUUGUCAUUAGUUGCUACAUUCAGUUGGGCACUCUAAUGAGACUGCCGGUGACAAGCCGGAGGAAGGUGGGGAUGACGUCAAGUCCUCAUGGCCCUUAUAGGUGGGGCUACACACGUCAUACAAUGGCUGGUACAAAGGGUUGCCAACCCGCGAGGGGGAGCUAAUCCCACAAAGCCAGUCGUAGUCCGGAUCGUAGUCUGCAACUCGACUACGUGAAGUCGGAAUCGCUAGUAAUCGUGGAUCAGAAUGUCACGGUGAAUACGUUCCCGGGUCUUGUACACACCGCCCGUCACACCAUGGGAGCGGGUUCUGCCAGAAGUAGUUAGCUUAACCGCAAGGAGGGCGAUUACCACGGCAGGGUUCGUGACUGGGGUGAAGUCGUAACAAGGUA
rnacentral:rRNA from 1 species